GAUGAACGCUAGCUACAGGCCUAACACAUGCAAGUCGAGGGGCAUCGGGAGGGAAGCUUGCUUCCCUUGCCGGCGACCGGCGCACGGGUGAGUAACGCGUAUCGAACCUGCCCCAUACCCGGGGAUAGCCUUGCGAAAGUAAGAUUAAUACCCGAUGGUUUCCUUUUAUCUCCUGAUAGAGGGAAUAAAGAAUUUCGGUAUGGGAUGGCGAUGCGUCCGAUUAGCUAGUUGGCGGGGUAACGGCCCACCAAGGCGACGAUUGGUAGCCGGACUGAGAGGUUGAACGGCCACAUUGGGACUGAGACACGGCCCAG
rnacentral:rRNA from 1 species